GUCAGAGGAUGGCAUAGUGGUUUCAGUGUUAGACUAUGACUCAGGAGGCCAGGGUUCAAAUCCCAGCUUGGCCA